CUGAAAUUUAAGGUGAACUCGUUAUACAAAUCUAGUUCUACAGCAUAAAAUAAAACAGACGCUUAAUUGGGUAAAGAGAUGCCAAAUUGAAAGGUGCCAUGGAAAUUCCGGUCUUCAAAGCAUCAUAUGCUGGGCCAAAAGCAAUUCCCCAGCGCAAUCAAGAAAAGUAAUUUUGAGAAAGCAGGUCAACUUCCAAGCACAAUACCCAUCAGGCUUGAAGAUAUCAAAAUCCACAUGACAGCAAUAGACAAUUAAAACAUAUUAGCACAAAAUAAAAUGUGGGAUAAAGAAAAAGAAAAGGUCCAUAGAUGAACAAAUACACAAUACUAGUUACAUCGAACACAGGCAAAUCGACUUUUUUCUUUAGACCCAGGUCAUUAGAAGAAAGGAUUAAAUACAAGAAAGUGCUGUGAAGAAAUAUAUAGCAAGCAAACUACUAAGAACACUGGGCUUAUCUCCACGACUAGUUAAACUGCAUGUACAAUGCAUACUAAAAAGAAAGGACCAUUGCCUCCACGAGAAAAAACUGCAUUACUCCACAUUAGCUGGAAUUGUCUGCCACCAGGAAUCAUCACCAUGUUGCUGCUAAAGAGAAAGUAGGCAGUAGGAUAUUGUCAGUAUGGUCUAUAGUAAUUGUUUCUGUCCAAUGUUCAACCAACAA
rnacentral:lncRNA from 1 species